ensembl:lncRNA
GUUUCACCCUCUAAAAUCCCUUCAGAGGAAAUGCUUUUUCGUUACACUUGAUUUUGUUUUUGUUUUUCUGUCAAGGUUAGCCGUGUCAAAAUGAAACCAAUGAGCACUCUGCCUCAAGGGUUCCAUUCAUUUUGAUCAAGAGGUGCCUCAUCUGAGGUCCGUGAUUUGGGCUGGCUUGGCACACCUGACCCCACACGUCCCCCGUCCCCAGACCACACCACCAAGCCUGAUAACAUGUUCCGCUUGACUGCCUCCAUCCCUCCUCAGGUGUCUCUACAUUCAACCCCCCCCCCCCCCCCCCCCCCCCCCCCCCCCAAACACCCUCAACCUGACCCUGUCCAAAUAUUGCCAAUCCAGGGAUAGCGGGGUUUAGGAUGGGCGGAUCAGAUGGUGAAUGGUUCUCCGGGUUUUGAAGAUGGAUGGAAACCUUCGAGGUGACGCUGGGGUGUGGGAACAGCAUCACAGGUCAGACUGACGUCAGGAGGAAGGCGUUAGCAUCCCGGAUGCAUAAUGACCCAUCUGUUUGGAUUAGAGGGCUACUCUCAGACUGCUGGGCCCGGCCUGCCUUUGGCCUGCAUUCUGGGAAAUCUCAUCCAAGAUGGGACUCUCUUGAAGCUCAAAGGAGAAGAAAAUACACCAUAAAAGUUGGAUUUCUCCACUGCUGCUUCUGAAACUACAGGCUUCAUCUCUCUACUCUAUUUUAAUUAUUUACACAGUGAUCCAUGGAAACAACAUUAGUUAAAAUUGUGGACCAGUUAUUGGUCCUGUGUUAUAUAGUAGCUAAUGCUAAUUAUAGAGAAAAAAACGUAAUUAAUUUGACUGUCUCCAGGGUCUCGUUGCUACAGUAUAUGCAUACUGCUAACAAAUGACCAGUCACAUCCAUAUCGUUUUACACAGUACUCAUUUUGAAAAUAUUUUGGAAAUGAUGAAGACAUUGCCUCAGGUCAAGCUUACCAUGUCACCAACAUCACAGAUGAUAGAUUAAUGUGUUGCAGGAGGAUGCAG